GAAUGAGCGAUGACAAGAACAUAUUAAGCCAGAUCUCCCUGUUGGCAGAGAAUCAGUGGUUGGUGGAAACUGAUACAAAGAUCUGUGUGAAUUUCAUUCUUCGAGCUUUUUUUAUACUACAUGUUAGAACAAGUGGUAUAAAAACGGAUUAAACCGUUAUUUUACCAAGUGGGAGACAUGGUUUGUUUCCAAUUAGGGUGGUACCGCGUGAACAGCCACGUCCCUAUC
rnacentral:ncRNA from 1 species